UUGAACCUAAUACAAGUUUCUGUGUAUUCAUUUGGGCCUAACUCAGGCAGGCGGCUGGCGUAAAGCACACACAUGGCGGUGGGGCUCAGGCGGCUUUUGGCAGAAAGAUUUAUCGUAACAGAAAAGGGUCGAUGUCUUUUCUGACAAACAUAGAGAAAAAGCUAAAAUGAAAGUAAGACAAGAGCAAUAGUGGAGUCAAAUGAAGCUUGCUACCCUACACGAUACAGAUAAUGGUAACACCAGACUAUUCAAUUUAAAGAAUAUACACCAUGUGAAGCACAUUUGUGGUUAAAAGUCAGUCACAGGCCACCAGCUGCCUGGAACGCACCAUCCCAAGCUGAGAACAUCAUGCAGGGUCUGUGAUUACACAGGAGCAAACAUGGUUAGAAUGCUUAGAGAAUGAAAACACUCAAAGCCCAAAGUGUCUACAUUCUCUCAAUGCUGUUAUGAAGAAACCACUUAUGGACUGUUGGAAACAGGACCUGAAUCUCGUUGUUUGAAAGCUUUCAAUUGACAACUUGGUAAGAUGAAUGUAUUUGUGUGGCUAUGGAAACAUUCACAAGACAGAGAAAAAAAUGGUUACACAUAAGAGAAAGACAGUAGUGACGGAGAGGACAUCUUUGAUAAAUAAGCCACGUAGGCUUCUGGACAAUCUAAGAAGACGUCUCAGAUGAAGAGGCUAGAUGGUAGGCAGACUGCAAUCAACACUGGAGACUGCUGUAGAGAGAAGACUGUGAUGAGCUGCCUAGGACCCACUCACCAUGGAAAUCUGGGAGUUGUCUUUUGAAUGGCUUUCUGCUGAUAAUCUGCCUCGUGUUUCUGAAGUUCCCAUAGCGAGGGAGACAUUCAAAACCAUCAUUUCCCCAGUCAUAGGACCUGACCUGUGACCUGCUCUGAAAUUGGGGAAUGAGAAGAUAUAACCUUGCUCUCUCUUAAACCAACUUCUAAACUACUUCAAAGUUCACUUUUGUUUGACAAUAAGGUGCCAUUGGUGUAAAACAAUAAUAGCUCACAGAUUUUCACAGCUGUAUAUUAUUGACAAAGUGACAGAAUAAAGCCACAUUGAACAUAAACUUCACCAUUCAUUGAAAAAUACGUUUAGUUUAGAUUUUAUAAAUGAGAACCCGUGUAAAGAAUCUGAUAAUGGAGUCAAUAUAUUAUUUCUCUUGCUAGAGAAAUGCAUUUUAAUGGAAAAUUUAUUCCCACAAUAGGGGUUCAAUUAGGAAUGACACUUUCAUUUAAGGGGGGAAGCCUUAUCCCCCAAUAUACCACAUAGUGAACCGGUCUCUCUAUAUUUCAAACCUCCCUUGUUGUAAGUGUGGUCUGGGAUAACUUCAUUAUGACCUGAUAUUGGUAGAUUAUCAGAUGCUUCAAUUAAAAAAAAUUGGAAGAACAGUAAAAAGGACAGAUUUCCAUCCCAAACUUUUUUUCUCUUUUACCAAGAAAGUUUCAAUGUGAAAGGCAUGCAUGGUGAUUGAUUGCCAUCUUAUAAAGGCCAGAGGUUACAAAUGUCAACUGGAAAAUAGAUGGUCACUGAGGAUAUUAUGGAAGUCUCUUCUAAAGUAAUCAAUGUUCAUCAAAUUACCUACUCCUUGUUUCUAUAUUGUAUUAUAAAUAAAUGAUUUGAAGAAAGUAA